UACCUCCAAUUCCCAAAACCUAAAAUCAAUUCACCUUUCUCCCGUCUCUCACGAUUCUCCCCUCCCCCACCGCCGCAAUCUGCCCCACCGUGCACCCCGCCCCUCCCACCGCUGCGAUCUGCUUCGCCGGACCACCCCGCUCCCUUUCCCGCCGCGAUCUGCCCCCUCCCAUCUCCACACCGGUUCUUUCUCCCCCAAAAUUCCCAAAUCCGAAUUUCACAGACCUUCCAUCUCUUGCUUCGAUUCGCCGCAGUCCGGUCCUCUGAGGCGCGACCAGACCCCUUCGCACCGCCCCGCCCGUCGCGACCAGAGCAGUCCGCCAGUUGCGAGCCAGGCUGGAUUGAAGAAGAAGAGGAACUGCAUUCCGUGUUUUCUCUUAGAAGAGAGUCUCGGUCCUUGAUCCCUUUUCAUAGGUUACAACAGAAAAGGUAAAAACCUUGUGGGCAUCUCAAUAUACGGUGCAGAUCACUGCCUCAAGGCUGGAUUGAAGAAGAAGAGGAACUGCAUUCCGUGUUUUCUCUUAGAAGAGAGUCUCGGUCCUUGAUCCCUUUCAUAGGUUACAACAGAAAAGGUAAAAACCUUGUGGGCAUCUCAAUAUACGGUGCAGAUCACUGCCUCAAGAAGGAUGUCAGAUUGCUUUCUCUGAUUUAGUUUUGGAGGAAUUGUCAUUCAAACCAAAGGGAUAUAAUUACGCAUGAUAAGAAAAUACAUUAUGUAGUGGAAGGAGAGGGGCUGCCCAUUAUUCUUAUUCAUGGGUUUGGGGCUUCUGCAUUUCAUUGGAGGUUGGCCUCUCACCUUACUGAAAAUAUUUAAUCUUAAUUAAGUUGUAUUACAACUGAAUUGAAGGUAAAGCAUGGUUUAGCUAGAUUAGUGGAGUUCUAUUCAAAUUUAGACUAUCAUGGUCAUUUUAUCUUUCCCUAUUUCGAUAUUUAUAGUGAACAUUAAUAGCUUGGAUGUUGCUUUAUUAGGUCCAAGCUUCUUUCACAAUGCAUUUGACUGUAAAAUAUUUUAAUUGUUGGUUCUAAAAUUUGCUGCAGUUUUGUGGUGAUUUAUGUGUUGUGUGGUUUAUUGCAUUUGUUUGGUGGUUGAUUGCAGGACGUCCAAAAACAGUAGCGCCCCUACCUCUUAAGCCACGAUGGGUAGCGGGUGGCGGGUAUCCGACGGGUGGCGGAUACUCGACUGGUGGCGCGUAUCCGCGGGUUGUGGGUUGGAAAACAAACACUUUAUUCAACGACGAUUUCAGUGCUUCAGUGAUGAUUGAAUGAGCUAAGAAGAGGAAGGGUUGGAAAAUCGUGUUGAGGUAAAGUCUACUUUUUCCUGUUGGCAUCACACAUUAUAGACACAAUAACUUUGUUUCAAUUUUUUAAUCAUUUUGGACUGAACUAAUUUUAAGUUAAAACUUAAUAUAGGAUGAUUCUAUUCAUAGCUCGGAUUUUACUCUUUAUAGUCUCAAUUUAAAAUAAUAAUUAAAAAUUUAUCAUCAUAUCCUAAUAUUUAAUAGCUCCAAAUU